rnacentral:rRNA from 1 species
GACGAACGCUGGCGGCGUGCUUAACACAUGCAAGUCGAACGGAAAGGCCCUGCUUUUGUGGGGUGCUCGAGUGGCGAACGGGUGAGUAACACGUGAGUAACCUGCCCUUGACUUUGGGAUAACUUCAGGAAACUGGGGCUAAUACCGGAUAGGAGCUCCUGCUGCAUGGUGGGGGUUGGAAAGUUUCGGCGGUUGGGGAUGGACUCGCGGCUUAUCAGCUUGUUGGUGGGGUAGUGGCUUACCAAGGCUUUGACGGGUAGCCGGCCUGAGAGGGUGACCGGCCACAUUGGGACUGAGAUACGGCCCAGGCUCCUACGGGAGGCAGCAGUGGGGAAUAUUGCACAAUGGGCGGAAGCCUGAUGCAGCAACGCCGCGUGCGGGAUGACGGCCUUCGGGUUGUAAACCGCUUUCGCCUGUGACGAAGCGUGAGUGACGGUAAUGGGUAAAGAAGCACCGGCUAACUACGUGCCAGCAGCCGCGGUGAUACGUAGGGUGCGAGCGUUGUCCGGAUUUAUUGGGCGUAAAGGGCUCGUAGGUGGUUGAUCGCGUCGGAAGUGUAAUCUUGGGGCUUAACCCUGAGCGUGCUUUCGAUACGGGUUGACUUGAGGAAGGUAGGGGAGAAUGGAAUUCCUGGUGGAGCGGUGGAAUGCGCAGAUAUCAGGAGGAACACCAGUGGCGAAGGCGGUUCUCUGGGCCUUUCCUGACGCUGAGGAGCGAAAGCGUGGGGAGCGAACAGGCUUAGAUACCCUGGUAGUCCACGCUGUAAACGGUGGGUACUAGGUGUGGGGUCCAUUCCACGGGUUCCGUGCCGUAGCUAACGCUUUAAGUACCCCGCCUGGGGAGUACGGCCGCAAGGCUAAAACUCAAAGGAAUUGACGGGGCCCCGCACAAGCGGCGGAGCAUGCGGAUUAAUUCGAUGCAGCGCGUAGAACCUUACCUGGGUUUGACAUGGAUCGGGAGUGCUCAGAGAUGGGUGUGCCUCUUUUGGGGUCGGUUCACAGGUGGUGCAUGGCUGUCGUCAGCUCGUGUCGUGAGAUGUUGGGUUAAGUCCCGCAACGAGCGCAACCCUUGUUCACUGUUGCCAGCACGUUAUGGUGGGGACUCAGUGGAGACCGCCGGGGUCAACUCGGAGGAAGGUGGGGAUGACGUCAAGUCAUCAUGCCCCUUAUGUCCAGGGCUUCACGCAUGCUACAAUGGCUGGUACAGAGAGUGGCGAGCCUGUGAGGGUGAGCGAAUCUCGGAAAGCCGGUCUCGGUUCGGAUUGGGGUCUGCAACUCGACCUCAUGAAGUCGGAGUCGCUGGUAAUCGCAGAUCAGCAACGCUGCGGUGAAUACGUUCCCGGG